AUUGAACGCUGGCGGCAGGCCUAACACAUGCAAGUCGAGCGAGCGGCGGACUGGUGAGUAAUGUAUGGGGACCUGCCCGAUAGAGGGGGAUAACUACUGGAAACGGUGGCUAAUACCGCAUACUAUCGGAUGAACCCAUUUGGUAUUAGCUAGUGGGUGGGGUAAAGGCUCACCAAGGCGACGAUCACUAGCUGGUCUGAGAGGAUGAUCAGCCACACUGGAACUGAGACCCGGCCCAGACUCCUACGGGAGGCAGCAGUGGGGAAUAUUGCACAAUGGGCGAAAGCCUGAUGCAGCCAUGCCGCGUGUAUGAAGAAGGCCUUAGGGUUGUAAAGUACUUUCAGCGGGGAGGCGGUACCCGAAGAAGAAGCACCGGCUAACUCCGUGCCAGCCGCCGCGGUAAUUC
rnacentral:rRNA from 1 species